rnacentral:sRNA from 1 species
GAUGUUUGUAUUUUAUAAGCUUUUAUUGUAUAAGUAAUACGUUUUAUGAGAUGUUUAAAAGCCUUUUAUAAGAUACUAGAUGAACACCCAUGCUACGCAUGGGUUUUUGUUUUUAAAAUUGUCGGAAAAAUAUGAUUAUGGUUUUUUAUUGAUUUUGAUGUUAAUUUUGAUAAAUUCAUCUAUUUAAUAUAAUUAUUAUUUUUUAUAAUUAGAUUCAUGUAUAACUCGAAAUAUCAAUUCUACUAUAAUAUGUAUAUUUAUAUAUUUAUUAUUCUAAUAUUUCACUAUCAUGAUCACAUACUACAACAAUAUAUGAUAUACCGAUACAAUGUAUGUAGUUAUAUUACUUAUGUGUUUUGAAACUUGGCUAACUUAAUUGUAACAAACAAUUCUUUAUUCCAUAUAUUCUCUCGUCAUCUAGUACACAAUCACAUCAUGAUAUGCUAGUAAUUUAAGUCAACAGUGUAAUUCUCAUCCCUACCAUAUAGUCAUAUAGAGUCUUAUGUUGUUGUUUUUUUGGUAUGUCUAAUGUUUUGGAUGACUAUUACGUGAAAUGUACAUAAAAAAGGUCAUAUGAUAAAUCAAAUUCACAAAACGUAAUAAUAAAAAAAAAUAUCCAACUAAAAUUACUAAAUUAAUAUGAGGUUAGGUAGCAAACAUCUAAACUGCAACACAAGUAAAAUUUUAGUCAUUAUGGGUUAAUGACUAUUGAUAAAAAAAAAUUAAUAAAAGAAGUAGAAAAGAAUGAAAGUAGUGCUUGGUACAUUAUUAUGAUUUUU